rnacentral:rRNA from 1 species
AGAGUUUGAUUAUGGCUCAGAACGAACGCUUGCUGCAUGCUUUAUACAUGCAAGUCGAACGGAGGCCCUAGCUUGCUAGGUGUCUUAGUGGCGCACGGGUGAGUAACACGUGGGAACAUACCUCAUAGUACGGAAUAACUGCGGGAAACUGUAGCUAAUACCGUAUAUUCCAGCAAUGGGAAAGAUUUAUCGCUAUGAGAUUGGCCCGCGCAAGAUUAGUUUGUUGGUAAGGUAAUGGCUUACCAAGGCUGCGAUCUUUAGCUGGUUUGAGAGGAUGAUCAGCCACACUGGGACUGAGACACGGCCCAGACUCCUACGGGAGGCAGCAGUAGGGAAUAUUGGACAAUGGGGGCAACCCUGAUCCAGCAAUGCAGCGUGAGUGACGAAGGCCUUAGGGUUGUAAAACUCUUUCAUCGGUGAGGAUAAUGACAGUAGCCGAAGAAGAAGGACCGGCUAAUUCCGUGCCAGCAGCCGCGGUAAUACGGAAGGUCCUAGCGUUGUUCGGAAUUACUGGGCGUAAAGCGCAUGUAGGCGGAACAGAAAGUUAGAAGUGAAAUCCCUGGGCUCAACCUAGGAAUUGCUUUUAAAACUUCUGUUCUGGAAUUCAGGAGAGGAAAAUGGAAUAUCCAGUGUAGAGGUGAAAUUCGUAGAUAUUGGAUGGAACACCAGUGGCGAAGGCGAUUUUCUGGACUGAUAUUGACGCUGAGAUGCGAAGGCAUGGGUAGCAAACGGGAUUAGAUACCCCGGUAGUCCAUGCAGUAAACGAUGGGUGCUAGUCGUCGGACUUAUGUUCGGUGUCGUAGCUAACGCGUUAAGCACCCCGCCUGGGGAGUACGGUCGCAAGAUUAAAACUCAAAUAAAUUGACGGGGACCCGCACAAGCAGUGGAGCAUGUGGUUUAAUUCGACGCAACGCGAAGAACCUUACCAGCGUUUGACAUGGGAAGUGCCGGUUACAGAAUGGUAACCUUCAGUUCGGCUGGCUUCCACACAGGU